UACGAAGGGGGCUAGCGUUGUUCGGAAUUACUGGGCGUGAAGGGCGCGUAGGCGGCGUGUCAAGUCAGGCGUGAAAGCCCCGGGCUCAACCUGGGAACCGCGCUUGAGACUGGCAUGCUCGAGUUCGGGAGAGGAUGGUGGAAUUCCCAGUGUAGAGGUGAAAUUCGUAGAUAUUGGGAAGAACACCGAUGGCGAAGGCAGCCAUCUGGACCGACACUGACGCUGAGGCGCGAAAGCGUGGGGAGCAAACAGG
rnacentral:rRNA from 1 species